UCUCCGUUGGUGAACCAGCGGAGGGAUCAUUAUCGAGUUUAUAACUCCCAAACCCUAUGUGAACUUACCACUUGUUGCUUCGGCGCGCGCUUCGGUGCCGCCGAGGACACUUAAACCCUUUGUUUUUAUAAGCAUUUCUGAGUGGCCGAAAGGCAAAAUACAAUGAAUCAAAACUUUCAACAACGGAUCUCUUGGUUCUG
rnacentral:misc_RNA from 1 species